GGGGGGGGGGGGGGGGGGGGCGGGGGGGGGGGGGGGGGGGGACGAGCCGGGGGUGGCCCUGGGGCAGAGCCGCGGACGGGUGAGGAACACGUGGGUAACCGACCCCGAUAACCGGGACAACCCGAGGAAACGCGGGCUAAUACCGGAUGUGCUCACUGGCCUUCGGUUCAGUGCGGAAAGGAAGCUCGGGCCUCCGUAUCGGGCUGGGCCCGCGGCCCAUUAGUUUGUUGGUUAAGUAACGGCUCACCACGACCGCGAUGGGUAGCUGGUCUGAGAGGACGAUCAGCCACACUGGGACUGAGACACGGCCCAGACUCCUACGGGAGGCAGCAGUGGGGAAUCUUGCGCAAUGCGCGAAAGCGUGACGCAGCAACGCCGCGUGGGGGAAGAAGGCCUUCGGGUUGUAAACCCCUUUCAGGAGGGACGAAGGUUCGGCGGUGAAUAGCCGUCCGGACUGACGGUACCUCCACAAGAAGCCCCGGCUAACUACGUG
rnacentral:rRNA from 1 species